rnacentral:rRNA from 1 species
GACGGAGGAUGCAAGUGUUAUCCGGAAUCACUGGGCGUAAAGCGUCUGUAGGUGGUCAAAUAAGUCAACUGUUAAAUCUUGAGGCUCAACCUCAAAAUCGCAGUCGAAACUAUUAGACUAGAGUAUAGUAGGGGUAAAGGGAAUUUCCAGUGGAGCGGUGAAAUGCGUAGAGAUUGGAAAGAACACCGAUGGCGAAGGCACUUUACUGGGCUAUUACUAACACUGAGAGACGACAGCUAGGGUAGCAAAUGGG